rnacentral:misc_RNA from 1 species
GGAGGGUUGUGUUUCUGAUAUUCUCUUCUUCACUUCUCCGAAGGACGCUGCGAUUUCAUCUGCAGUUUCUCGAGGAUUCAACUCCGCUACUGAAUCGGACCUUCUCUGGGGAAAGUUUUUGCCGGAUGAUUACGAAGAUAUUAGCUCCAGAUAUGUCUCUCCGAGGAUUUGUUCGUCGAAAAAGGAGCUUUACUUUAGUCUCUGUGAUUCCCCUGUUUUAAUGGAUGGAGGCAAAUUGAGCUUUUCACUUGAUAAGAAAACAGGGAAGAAGUGUUUUAUGAUAUCAGCAAGAGAACUUGCUAUUUCAUGGGGAGUUGAUACACCAUGGCACUGGGAAUGGAUUGCUCACCCUCAGUCCAGAUUUUCAGAAGUGGCUCAUCUCCACACUGUAUGUUGGCUUGAUAUACGAGGCACGAUUGGAUCACAAAUGUUGUCAAAAAGAAGUAAAUAUGUUGUUUAUUUAGUGUUCAAAUUGGCAGAGGAACAUUAUGGACUAGAUAUUGCUUAUGCAUCUGUUAGGUUUGUGAAUAGUGUGAGCGAUAAAGAAGCUGAGGAACGAGCUAGCAUUUUGAGUUUAGUCGGAGAAAAUGUUAAUUACAUGACAUGUCCACAAAAAAGAGUCGAUGGAUGGAUGGAAAUGGAACUGGGAAAUUUUAUUAAUGACAUAGGAGAUGAUGGAGAUGUUGAAGCGCGAUUUAUGGAGAUUAAGCAUCUUGAUGGAAAAGGCAGACUUAUUGUUCAAGGAAUUGAAUUUAGACCAGAAUGAAA